AUGGUGGCCGACCACCAGUCCUCCCCGCGGCCGCGGUUCACCAUCGGCUACGCGCUGCCGCCCGGCAAGGCGGGCAGCGUCAUCCAGCCGCCGCUCGAGGCCCUCGCGGCGGAGCGCGGCAUGCGCCUCGUCGCCGUCGACGCCUCGCUGCCCCUGGCCGACCAGGGCCCCUUCGACCUCAUCAUCCACAAGCUCUUCGACCGGCCCUGGCGCGCGCAGCUGGAGGCCUUCUCCGCGCUCCACCCCUCCGUGCCCGUCGUCGACGCCCCCGCCGCCGUCGACCGCCUGCUCGACCGCUUCACCAUGCUCGACGUCGUCCCCGGGCUCGCCGCCGGCCUGGACUUCCCGCUCAGCGUCCCCGCGCAGGUCACCGUGAGCGACGCCGCCGCGCUGGCCGCGGACGACCCGUCCCACGGCCUCCGCUUCCCGCUCAUCGCCAAGCCGCUGGCCGUCGACGGCAGCGCCAGCUCCCACGACCUGUGCCUGGUGUACCGCGCCGAGGGCCUCCGCGGCCUCCACACCCCCGUCGUCCUCCAGGAGUUCGUCAACCACGGCGGCGUGCUCUUCAAGGUCUACGUGGUGGGCGGCCGCGCCGUCUGCGUCCGCCGCAGCAGCCUGCCGGACGUGCCCGCGGAGCGCCUCGCGGACCCCGACGCCGACGCCUCCGUCCCCUUCGCCAACAUCUCCAGCCGCCCCGCGCUGGACAAGGGGGAGGACUCGAUGCCGCCCGCCGCGUUCGUGGACCAGGUCGCGCGCGGGCUCCGGCAGGCGCUGGGGCUGCACCUCCUCAACUUCGACAUGUUCGCGGCGACGGAGCUGGACGACGGCGGCCGGCGGAGGUACUUCCUCGUGGACAUCAACUACUUCCCGGGGUUCGCCAAGAUGCCGGGCUACGAGACUGCUCUCACGGAUUUCUUCGCCGAGAUGAUUCAGCUAGGCACUGCAGGCGCCGCCGCCGGCCAAGAGAAGCUCGAAUAUGUGCCCUGCAAUGAGCUCUAG
rnacentral:rRNA from 1 species